AGUCCACCUGCGCGGCUGAGUGGAGGAUGCUAGGUUGCUGUGCUGUUUCUCCUACUGUCUUGCUGCCGCACCACCCCUCAGAAAAACCGGGUCGUCAGUUUCCUGCGGUUUGCACUCACCAAAUAUACUUAGCAAUUUGCAAUUCACCCGCAGGAUUAUUCCAGCCUCUGUGAUCACACACAGAAGGAUGAGCCUUCCUCGUGAGGGUUGGAGAUGGAGGGAGAAGGGAUGGAGAGUAAGGAUGGGACGGAGGUUGUGGAGCAGCAGACCAACACGCCAGAAAGGAAAAUAAUGAUCAUCUCAAUUUUUAUAUGUGGAGGCAUUGCUUUUCUUCUUUGGGGGAUUUUAAGAUUUCCCAGAAAAUGUAAGUAAACAAUUUCUGCUAAAAUUAUUAAAUUAAAUUGUUAAAAUUAUUGUAUUAUUGAUUCAGUUGGAUACCAAUAACUAGUCUUUCCUUCCUUAAUAUAGAACAAUUUAGAGAUAAAAGCAUUUUCCAAGACAGUGCAUCUAAUUGCUCUUCAAACUUAGUCACCUGCUUCACCUUCUAGAAUAAUCAGUCUUUCAAUAAAUAUGUAUCAAGCUUUAGGCACAGUGCUGCCUGCUGAUGAUAUAACAAUGAAAAAAAAUGGUAUUUCUUGCCUGAAAGUAGUUUAUCUUUAACUGAAUAUGGAAGCAUGUAAGCAAACAACUGUAACACAAAAGAAAUAAUUACUAAAUAGAACUAUGUUGAAUUUGAAGCAGGAGAGGAGAUUAUAAGUUAGCUGCUUGUAGUCAAGGCUUUAAUGAAGGGAGAAAUAUUUGUGCUGAAUCUUAAACUCAAGUAGGCGUUUAUCAAAGAUCAUCUUAGAACACACAUGUCAGAGAAUCACACCAGGUAUAAUUAUGAUGGAGUUACAAAGAAGUAGGGUGAGGGACUGGCAAUUGUAUUAUAGUUCCCUAGUGCAUUAACUCUUUCACUGCCAUUCAUUAGCAAUUUAUACCUUGUCCUUCAUCUCCAUUCUCCUCAUGCUCAUUCUCAUGUCUAUACCCUUGCUUCCAACUUGUUCUAAUUUUAACAAUUUGUAGGAAACUUCCAAAUGCUCCCAUCACCACACCAGCUUACUUACUCCAUCUCUGCCCCUACACUCUGCCUAGACUCCUGGAACUGUAGAUGCAGUAUUCAUGUUCUACAAUAGAUCCUAUAUUCUUUCACUGGAUCAGUAAUAUCACCCUAGUAAUUCUCCACUCUCCUACAUUAUCCUUUUUUCAUCCUCAACUGAAACAUCUCCAUCAGCAAAUAUGACAUACUGGUAUCUAUAUCAACCUUGAAAAAAUAAACAACAAAAACAACAGAAUUUAUUAGACCCCACUUAUCUUUUAGCAACCAAUUUAUUGUUUUUCUCCUUGGUACAGCAACCUCUUUAAAACGGCUUUUCAAAAUAAUUUUUUAUCUUUCCUUUUUCUGUUAAAUCCACUUGGAUCAAGCUUCCACUCUGCUUUUUCCACCAAACUUGUCUUUCAAGUUCACCAAUAACUUCCAUAUUGCUAAAUCGACUGGUCCAUUCUCCCUCCUCACCUUAUUAUAUAACCUAUUUGCAGCUUUUGGCACUCCCUUUUUCUAAAAAAAAAAAAAAAUUUCAUUUGACUUACAUGACGCCAUAUUCUUGUGGUUUGCUUUCUACUCAUUUUACCAACAACCGUGAUUCCCUGAUUCUCCUUCACUCUGAUCUAUUUUACGACAAACUAUAUAAUUUCAGACGCAUAAGUCCCAUAAGAGUAGGUAUUUCUGUAUGUUAUGUAGGCUAUUCAUAGAGUUACAAAAAUGUCUGGCGUGUAGCAGGUGCUCAAUCGGUAGUUGUUGACUGCGUAAAUGAAAGAAUGAAUUAAUUAGUAAAUGAAUGAGAAAACUGCCUUUCUGGUGACCCAAGUUUUGAAUUAAGUAUUUGGUUUUUAUAUUGGUUAUUGAUUUGAAUUUGACAUUUUAAAAUAAUUUUGAACAUGACACAUUCAAAUAACUUUGAUAACUUGAUUUUUUCACUUCACUCUCAGGUCUCAACUAUAUAGAACCAUAUUGCCAGUUGAUCCUUCCCAUUGAGGAUUUUCCCACUCACAGAUUUGAAGAUGAACCAGUCAUUUAUUUUAGUUGUGGAUAGGAGGUGCUCUCAGAGCUUGUUUCUUUCAGGAUUAUACCUUAACAAGGAACUUCCUUUAUCUAGUGCAGUAACUUAAGGAGUAAAAGUGGAGAGUAAAAAGGGAAAUUUUAGCAUUCUUUUUUCUGUGUUUCUUGUUUCAUAACGGACAAGGAAACAGCGCCACCUUCUAGAGAAAUGCUGUCUUUGAAAGACAAUAUAGUCUCAGUUAAGUUGAUGAUAGGAACCAGCUCACUGAAGUUAUGAAUAUAGAAAAAUUUGUUUAUUUACACUGCAACUUGUUCUAGAGAGCAUAGUAAAUUUUAGGAAAGAAAUAGAUGAAUAAAGAAAAUUCAUGUAGUCUAAAAAUUAGGAGGGAAAAUGGCUGGAAGAUACUGAAUUUCUGGAAGUUUGUUAUUGAGUUUUUAAAUUUUUCAUAGCUCUCAUUCUCCAGUGCUUAUUCCUUUCAUGUUCUCUUCUCGAUAUUCAAUUUUUUUGAAUUGAUGUUUAAAGUUAAGUCAUUCAAAUUGAAUAUGUAAGUAAAACACAUUUUAUUAGUCUGAGCUAUAUAAUAAUAUUUUACUCUGAAGCUCACUCUUUCUUUCUUUGAUACUUUCUUUAUUCUUUUUCUCUAUUACCUGUUAAUUUCAGUUGGAAUUCCAAGGCACCUUAGAAACAAGACAUGCCUAGAAAAUUUGACUAUGUGUCCACAAGGCUGGAACUGAAUCAAUAAUAAUUGCUUCUUUCAAUCUGAACAUGAAACAACGUGGAUCAAUGGCUGAGAAAACUGCAGAAGUUAUGGAUCUCUGGCCAGGCUCAACUCUCAGAAUGAAAUGAGGUAAGGGACUAUCUAGAAGUGAACUUUCCAGGAAAGGAAAAUGGCUGGAGCGUGUGUCUUAAGGCCAGUGAAUGUCUGGAAUAUUCAAGGAACAGAAAAGAAGCAGCCAGUCAAUCUAUCUAAAAUGAGGGAUUGAGUGAAGAAUGCGGAUCAUUAGGGUCUUGCAGGCUAUUGUAAAGAGUUUAGUUUUUGCUCCAAGCAAAAUAGGGAGAUACUGCCAAAUUAUGAGGGAAAAUGUAAUAGGAUCUGACUUAAGUUUUAAAAGAAUCAUAAUCUUUGCUGUGAUGAGGUUGGCUACUGAGUCUCAAAUGUAAACGGAGGGAAUCAUGUUAUACGGCCUUUGCAGUAACUGUGCAAGAUAAUAAUAGACUUAAAGGGCACUGGAGGGAGUGAGAAUGAGAAAACUAGAAGAAAUCUAUGACAGCACUCUGUAUUUUGUAAAGGGAAUCUUUGAUGCAUUAUCUGGGGCCGUCUUUAUAUUGGUUUGAACUGAGCAAGCACAAUGCAAACAAAACGUGGAUGUGGGCAGAUGGAGCUACAUUCAGCAAUUGGUAAGCCUUACUAACAUGUAUUUACUAUUAAAUGUGUAAAGCGUGGUAAAGAUUCUGAGUCUAUAACUGGCUUCCUCCAUAGAUUCCUCCACAUCAUCCCCCCAAAAGACCCUCAAAAAAUAGAUGCCAAAGAGAAUAUUUAGACAAAGUUACGGUUUUUAGUGAGGGUUUGGCAUCACAUAUCAAUAUUUAUGUAUAUAUAUGGAAUUGGUAUAUACCACAUGUGAGUCACAAGUGUUCCCUUUAUCCUGAACUGGAUGCAAGUCUAAGCAGUUUGAUCCUUUCCUCUUUGGACCUGGGACCUUGCCUUUUGUUUUUGUUUUUUUUGUUGUUGUUCCUUUGGCCUUUCAUUGAUGGGAGAGCAUUAGAGAGUGUACUGAAGCCUACACUUUCCGCACCCACCAGUGGCCUGACAUGCACAAGAGUAAGUUAAGAAGAGAACGUGUUUGCCUCAGUUUACCUUUGUUUAAAAUUCAAGAACUUCUUUAUAUUCCAUAGCUUGAAAAAACUCAUCAUACACUUAGAAUCUAUUUUGUUCUUAAAACACUUACAAAUUUCUCCAACGUCAGGGUGGAGAAGGUCAUAUAAAGGAUAUUGAGUUCUCAGUAUUCUUUGGUGAACUAAAGGUGACCACUAGCUACCAUUUAUUGACUGCCCACUUUGUAAUAGAUACUGGUUCUGUAGCACUCCAUGCCAGAUAUUACAUGUUGUAUAUAAUAUAAUAAAGUUAGUAGCGGAACUUUCUAAAGUUGAGAAAAUUCUCUUAUGAUUAUUGUAUUUACAUUCAAUUUGGGGUGAAAAUGCACAAUGAUUUGAGAGGGAUAAUAUACCCAAUAUUAUAUUUUAUCUUUGAAAAAUGUAAAAAAAAAAGACAGAUUAAACUUUCUGACUAUAAAACAUAAUAUUAUAUUUUCUUGAAAGAAAAUAUUAACAGCUUAAUGUGGCAUUACAUAUUAUAUACAGGCCCAUCAAAAAAUGAGACAGGAGUUAACAUUGGUGUAUUAAUUUGCUAAGUCUGCUGUAAUAAAUGCCACUGAAUGGGUGGCUCAAAGACAGCUCUGGGGGCCGUUAAGUCCAGGAUCAAGGUGUUAGUAGGGUUGGUUUCUUUUAAGGCCCUUCUCUUUGGCUUGCAGAUGGCUGUCUUCUCACUCUGUGUUCAUGUGGCCUUCUGUACACACUCAAGUCUGUGUCUAACUUAUUUCUUCUUAUAGGGACAUCAGUCAUAUUGGAUUAAGGUGCACCCUAAAGACCUUUUCUUACCUCAAUCACUUCUUUUUUAAAAAAAACAAAUACCUUAUCUCCAAAUCUGUUACAUUCUCAGGUACUGGGAGUUAGGCACUUAAUGUAUGAAAUUUGGGGGCCUAUAAUUCAGCCCAUAACGGUUGUUAUUAGUUGGCACUAUGGAUUGGAUAAGCAUAAAAAUACACAUAUAUUUUGGGAAUGGGCAGGAUAAAAAUUUGAAGUUACCCUAGAAGUUAGGAAAGUGUACACCAGUACUGUGAAGUUCCCCCAAAUAAUUACAGUAUAACCAGAAAUGUAUCAUGAUUAACCAUCCUGUUUUCCUCCGUUUUGAAUUUUGAAUUUCACAUGUUUAUAUGUAUGGCAUAAAAUAUAAAUGUAGGAAAUCUUUUCUUUAGAUUUUAUUUGUUUACUUAUGUGUAUCGUAAUCUAUUGAGUAAAGAAUACCUGUUUCACUACAGUGAUGGUGAUAAAGAGUGGCCAAAUGUGAACAUUUAUUUCAGCAUUAAUAGACCAAUUUUGUAAUAUAUGAAAGGUAUGUUCAAUGAAAUGUCAGUUACACUCCCCUUCUUUAUAAUUUCUAAAUGGCUAAACACAUUGAUAUAUCAAUGUUUAUGCUACAGUAUAAAGGGAAGAAUCCAAUCCCUCACAAAAUGAUUACAAUGUUUGCUAUAGUAUCAACAGCGUAAACUUCCAGGACUGUGUUGUUAGGCACUGAAGUCACAUAGUGUCCUUUUCUUCCUGCCAUCAGGGUCCUGAGGUAAAAUUUGGAGAAAGAUAGGAGGAGAGCAACAGCUUGUUUCACUUCCUCUACUCCUUCCACACUGCACGUGUUUUAGAAACCGGGCUAAUGAAAUUUACGUUCUAUUUUCGAGGCUGUGCUCAGUUAUUUCUCAGGAGGUCCAGUAAAUAAAGAAUUAAUCUAUUUGUUUUGUCUUUAGUCAAGUUAUGAAACUAGCGAAUUAUUUACAUUAAGUGGAUUUGUUGUUGCUGUCGUUGCUGAAACUAGUGAAAGAAUCGAGUUUUGUGCUAUGAGUCAUGGGAGCAAAACGUGAGUAUUUAGAAGUGGAGAGGACCACGAAGAAGGAAGCCCUGGUGACUUGAAGAAAUCAUGGAGAGUUCUCCGGAUUCCCACAAACCUAUGGGGUUUAGAUUCCAGCUAAUACUUACACGGGUCUCAGAAGGACAGAGGGCAAGGGUUAACAUCUGGCUGAUAUUAAAGUCUCUGCACCUCUUAAUAUUUUACUUUGGCCUAGUUUUCUUUUCUUCGCUUUUACAUUUCCUGAUAUAAUGAGUAAUUCUCUUUUGAGUAUUAACUUGUACCAUGAACUAUGCUAAAUAUUUUUACCCCUAAAUGAUGAAGAAUUUUUAUCAUUUUUUGCUGAAAUAAAUGAGCAAAUGAAAGAUUGUUUACCUGGGAUUAUAGUAAAUGGUAGAACCACAUUUUAAAUUCAGCUGGGUCUCACACACAUUACAGACAUUCAAACAAUGU
rnacentral:lncRNA from 1 species